rnacentral:lncRNA from 1 species
AUGAUUAAGUUACAAAAAACUAACCUUUUUUUCUGUUUCUGACGUCCUUUCACUUUCUGUCUCCUUUUUAUCUCUCACACUAGAGGAAGUGGCUGCCAUAUUAUGAGCAGUUCUCCAGAGAGACCCAUAAAAAUGAGAAAUGGGCCUCUGGUCAACUGCCAGUGAGGAGCCACAGCCUGCCAACAGUCCAGCUCCUGGACCAUGAGACGACUGCAGCUCCACUAACAGCUCAACUGAGCAACACCUGGAUAUCUGACCCAUACAGACAGAGUGAGAUUUUCAUUGUUUUAAGCUCGGGGCUGAGGUGACUUGUUAUGCAGCAAAGAUAACUAAUACACAUUCUAGUAAAGAGGUGAAAGCUUUCAGGUUUCCUUUAAGAAUUUGUGCAGGAUAUUAAAUAUAUUAGAAAAUAAAUACCAUAAGAUGUUGCCAUACAAGAAAUCCAGGUAUUAUUUAGUUUGUCAUGUAGAAAUAAAAUCAUAAAUAUAUUUGUUAUUUAGUUGGUCAUGUAAAAAAAGCACAAAGAUAAUUUGUGAUUCAUAACCUAUAAAAUGUGUUAAAUGUCUUCAAAUUUUAGAAUUGGUUUUGAUUUAUAAUUAUGAGUCCUUUUGGUAUCUGUAUAAGUUAUUUAAAAAAGACACUCAUUAUAGCACAAUAGUACAAAAUAAAAUUCAUGUAAACAUAGAAAAAUAAGAGACUAGUUAAGCUAUAUAUCUUCUCAUUAGAGUAUUAAAAAACCAUGAAAACAUUUGGAAAAAAUAUAAUGAAAGAUUCCAAGCAUAUAGUACACAGAGACUUCAAGGUGAAUGUAGACAACUUUCAUCUUUUCAGUUGUGGAAUUUAUGUGGGAAGCUAUUUUCUUCUAUAGCUUUUACCAAUCUUUUCUAAGUUCUCUCUACCAUAUGUGUGUUACUACUUUUAUUAUUAGAAAAAUGUAUAUAACACUUGAAGAAGUUAUUCUUAAUUUGCUUUUAGGACUACAAAGAAAUGGAGACCAUGGACUUUAACCUUCAGACUAGGGGAGAAGCCUAUCAAAUAGACCUCAACAAUGGAGCAUCUGUAUUGAUACUGGUUGCUCUUUCAGGCUGGCUUUCUUCCAAAUCACCUUGGCAGAGAUAUACAUGCUUUGGGGCCAAUGCUGUGACAGGGAACCUCUUGCAGCUAUGACUUCAACUCCAGCACAGAUGUUCCUGACAAAGACGUAUCUAAAGCACAUCCUGUAAUACAACAUAUGGGAACAGAAGUACAAUAAAGAUAGAAGAUAAGCACCAAGAGGGAGUGGCUGAGGGAUAAGGAAAAUGGAGUGGUCACUUGCAAAAUGAAGGCAGAAGUUGGAGUUGAGGGGGAGCAAGGAGAAAGAUUUUUCUAUAAGAGCCACCCCACACAGUGGCAGGGAGCAUGAUCUUGAUGGCAUAUUUGAGGAAUUAUGCAUUCCGUCUCCUUUUUUCACACUAAACUUUCACCUGGCCUUGUGAUCCCAUUAUUUUCGCUGGCAUUGCUCUAGUCCCAGGGUGAUCCAAGGCCUUGUAAGUUCAUAGAGUGCUAUUACAAUUGACAGUAUGGAUUCCGGAGUUGAGCUAGGAUGAGCUCUGGACUCGGCCUCACCAAUUGAUAUCUACCCAACUUUAGGAGAGUUGUUUGUUCUCUAUGAGUUUUGGUUUCCUCAUCUGUAAGAUAAUGAUAAUGAAAGAGCCUAAUAUAUGUAUGUGUGUAUAUAUUAAUUGGCUUUGUGUGUAAAUGUGUUUCCUUUGUGUCACUUUUGAAACACAUACUGACUUUUUUUUUUUAAUUGUUUGUGAGUGCUGAAUUAGCCCAUUAUUUAUUUAUUCAAUAGGUUCAAUUAUUGGAGUGGGGCUUUAUAGAUGACACAAUGGCUGCAACAUAAGCAAUGAAUAUUGGGGACACCUACUUUCCUCCUUUCUUCACUCAGACCUCUGAAAAAUGUUGUAUCUUAAGUAGAUUGGUCUCUUACAGUGAGUUACAGGGAGCACAUUUUUAUAACAUUUCUGGCUUCCACUUUGAAGUCCCCUGAAUCCCCAUUUUGUGGACCUCCCAGUGGUAAUGGUGGACUCUAAGAGCUGAGGGGCUCAGUCCUGUAGCCACAAAACCUGUAUCAGAAUAGAACUGCUCCAGAGAGAGGCUUAGUGCAGCCUUGACUUCAAGAUCAAGAAUUGUCUGCUUGAGAAGCAAAUGGCUCCACAUGGAGUUCUAGGAAUUGUACUGACUCCUUUCAAUAAAACAGAAGUGUGUGUGUGUGUGUGUGUGUGUGUGUGUGUGUGUGUUAAGAUCUGGCCAGCUUCUUUUCAGAAAAGACAAGAAAUACCAUAGUUUGGUUCUCAAUAAAAAUAACAAAACGUAUAUUAAUGUAUGACUUUGGGCUUAAAAAUUAAGUAUUUCUUAAAGACUUACUUGGUGCCUGGCAGCAUAGCCUGCUCCUGACAGACCUUACGACCACAAGAAGAGAUAGAUGUGCCAGAUGAGUACAUAUUACAUAGCCAAACAUCAUUCAUGGAGGAGAGCCCUAAAAACAACUUUAUUUUUGUCCCCACUUUCCAUUUUGAAUCUGUUCAAUGAGGAAACUUUUUCUCUACCGUUG